GUGGAGCAUGUGGCUUAAUUUGACUCAACGCGGGGAAUCUUACUAGGUCCGGACCGAGUCUAUGAACGUCGUACCGUUGGGUGCUACGUGAUUACUGGAUGAGUGGUGCAUGGCCGUUCUUAGUUCGUGGUGUUAAUUGUCUACUUAAUUGUUUCGAUUUUUAGUCUCGCGGCUAAGAUCUAUGCAACGAACGAGAUCGAGACCCGUGGUUUACGUCUUAGGUUAUUUGUGUACGACGUUUAAACAACGGGGAUCGCGUAAUACUCAACGGUACGAUCGAAAGACUCGGCAAUAACAGGUCUGUGAUGCCCUCAGAUGUUCUAGGCUGCAAACGUGCUACAUUGUGAGUUGUAGUAUAUUGUGUAUGCGUAGAUAUGUCUAAGAUCCCCCGCAUCGAGUCUCAAUUACUCACGUGGUUGGACUCACCGAUUGUCAAUUAUUCGGUAUACUAACUAGGAAUGCCUCGUACGGGA
rnacentral:rRNA from 1 species